GACGAAGGGGGCUAGCGUUGCUCGGAAUCACUGGGCGUAAAGGGUGCGUAGGCGGGUCUUUAAGUCAGGGGGGAAAUCCUGGAGCUCAACUCCAGAACUGCCUUUGAUACUGAAGAUCUUGAGUUCGGGAGAGGUGAGUGGAACUGCGAGUGUAGAGGUGAAAUUCGUAGAUAUUCGCAAGAACACCAGUGGCGAAGGCGGCUCACUGGCCCGAUACUGACGCUGAGGCACGAAGGUCAGGGGAGCAAACGGG
rnacentral:rRNA from 1 species